rnacentral:misc_RNA from 1 species
GCAAGCUCAUUUGACUGUGAGGCCGAACCAACAGGUCCCAGUGCAGAGUUCUGCUGGAAAUCCUAGUGCAGGUAGAAAUUCUCUUCCUGGUCAACCUCAGCUUCCGUGGCCAAGGAUUACGCAGUCUGAUUAUCAGAAGUAUAGCAAAGUAUUUAUGGCAGUGGACACAGAUAGGGAUGGAAAAAUUACUGGCGCAGAGGCACGGAGCUUGUUUCUAAGUUGGAAGCUGCCCCGAGAGGUCUUAAAACAGGUGUGGGAUUUAUCAGAUCAAGAUAAUGACAGCAUGCUUUCUUU